rnacentral:lncRNA from 1 species
AUGAAGUUUUCAUGCGCCGAGUUACCCAGCGACCUCUGCAAUUAUUUUAAGAUCCUUGCGGAGGAUUAUCGGAGGGCGCCCGACCCGGCGGCCCAGCGAAGCGCCGUGGAGAUGGCGGUGUGCACCUUGGAGGACGAGGACAGCGUGCUAGAACGCCCCAGUGUCCGUCGCCUCUACGAGCGGAUGUGUGCGCAACUCGGAGAGUUAGAGAGCGCGCUCCGCACCACACCAGCCCCCACGCCGUCCGCUCAGAUUACGCCAGGCCUGGUCGCAUCUCCGAUGCCCCCGGAUUCAGCGGACGUCUCUGCUCCUCCUCCCACACCAGGUCAGUCCGCGGUCCUGGUUUCAGUUUCCUUUCCCCAGCCCCGUCUGACCGUUGCUACCGCACCAGCCUGCCCAGCUCCAGUUUUACUCCGCUGGGAGGACUUCCUGCACUUGUGCAGUCCGCCGUCCCCGUUCUCGCCACAGAAUCAGACAGUAGCAGUCCACUCGUGUUUCGCUCAGGUUCCAGCCCAGUCGUGUUCCGCUCCAGUCCAGUCGUGUCCUGCUCAGGUUCCAGCCCAGUCGUGUUCCGCUCAGGCUCCAGUCCAGUUGGGUUCUGCUCAGGCUCCAGUCCAGUCGGGUUCCGCUCAGGUUCCAGUCCAGUCGUGUCCCGCUCAGGUUCCAGCCCUGUCGUGUCCUGCUCAGGUUCUAGCCCUGUCGUGUCCUGCUCAGGUUCCAGCCCAGUCGGGUUCUGCUCAGGCUCCAGUCCAGUCGGGUUCCGCUCAGGUUCCAGUCCAGUCGUGUCCCGCUCAGGUUCCAGCCCAGCCGUGCUCUGGUCAUGUUCCAGCCGAGCCGUGCUCUGCUCAGUUUCCAGCCCAGCCGUGCUCCGUUCAGGCUCUAGCCCCAGUUCAGUUGUGCUCCGUUCAGGCUUUAGCCCCAGUUCAGUCGUGCUCUGUUCAGGUUCUAGCCCCAGUUCAGUUGUGCUCCGUUCAGGCUCCAGCCCCAGUUCAGUCGUGCUCCGUUCAGGCUCGGGCCCCAGUUCAGUCGUGCUCCGUUCAGGCUUUAGCCCCAGUUCAGUCGUGCUCCGUUCAGGCUCCAGCCCGGGCACGUUGCGUUCAGGCUCCAGCCCGGGCACGUUGCGCUCCAGUCAAAUCACGUCAUGCUCACGCUCCAGUCUUGCCCCAGCCAGGUGGCACAACAUGCCGGUCGAGCCUGGCUCUAGCCCAGUCGGAUCCAGCGCCCGUCCCGUCAAGCUCAAAGGUCGUAAGCAGCCCUGCCGGCUCCAGAGAGGAGACCGAAAGCAGCCCUGCCGGCUCCAGAGAGGAGACCGCAAGCAGCCCUGCCGACCUGGUAGCAGUGUCCCUGUCCCUGUCGGUCCUAGGGAGGCGGUCGUGUUGCCCACCGCUGGUCCAGGAGAGACCAGUCUGGUCCUUGUCAGGCUCGACUGGGUCGUUCCAGCCGCAGUUCCUGUCGGCCCAACCGAGGGCGCCGUUCUAG